rnacentral:rRNA from 1 species
GAUGAACGCUGGCGGCGUGCCUAAUACAUGCAAGUCGAGCGAACAGACGAGGAGCUUGCUCCUCUGACGUUAGCGGCGGACGGGUGAGUAACACGUGGAUAACCUACCUCUAAGACUGGGAUAACUUCGGGAAACCGGAGCUAAUACAGGAUAAUAUCUUGAACCGCAUGGUUCAAUAGUGAAAGACGGCUUUGCUGUCACUUAUAGAUGGACCCGCGCCGCAUUAGCUAGUUGGUAAGGUAACGGCUUACCAAGGCAACGAUGCGUAGCCGACCUGAGAGGGUGAUCGGCCACACUGGAACUGAGACACGGUCCAGACUCCUACGGGAGGCAGCAGUAGGGAAUCUUCCGCAAUGGGCGAAAGCCUGACGGAGCAACGCCGCGUGAGUGAUGAAGGUCUUCGGAUCGUAAAACUCUGUUAUUAGGGAAGAACAAAAGUGUAAGUAACUAUGCACGUCUUUACGGUACCUAAUCAGAAAGCCACGGCUAACUACGUG